GAUGAACGCUGGCGGCGUGCCUAAUACAUGCAAGUCGAGCGAACAGACGAGGAGCUUGCUCCUCUGACGUUAGCGGCGGACGGGUGAGUAACACGUGGAUAACCUACCUAUAAGACUGGGAUAACUUCGGGAAACCGGAGCUAAUACCGGAUAAUAUAUUGAACCGCAUGGUUCAAUAGUGAAAGACGGUUUUGCUGUCACUUAUAGAUGGAUCCGCGCCGCAUUAGCUAGUUGGUAAGGUAACGGCUUACCAAGGCAACGAUGCGUAGCCGACCUGAGAGGGUGAUCGGCCACACUGGAACUGGGACACGGUCCAGACUCCUAUGGGAGGCAGCAGUAGGGAAUCUUCCGCAAUGGGCGAAAGCCUGACGGAGCAACGCCGCGUGAGUGAUGAAGGUCUUCGGAUCGUAAAACUCUGUUAUUAGGGAAGAACAAAUGUGUAAGUAACUAUGCACGUCUUGACGGUACCUAAUCAGAAAGCCACGGCUAACUACGUG
rnacentral:rRNA from 1 species